CAUGCAGUCGAGCGCGCCUUUCGGGGUGAGCGGCGGACGGGUUAGUAACGCGUGGGAAUAUACCCUUUGGUACGGAAUAGCCUCUGGAAACGGAGAGUAAUACCGUAUGAGCCCUUCGGGGGAAAGAUUUAUCGCCAAAGGAUUAGCCCGCGUUAGAUUAGGUAGUUGGUGGGGUAAUGGCCUACCAAGCCUACGAUCUAUAGCUGGUUUUAGAGGAUGAUCAGCAACACUGGGACUGAGACACGGCCCAGACUCCUACGGGAGGCAGCAGUGGGGAAUCUUGGACAAUGGGGGCAACCCUGAUCCGGCCAUGCCGCGUGAGUGAUGAAGGCCUUAGGGUCGUAAAGCUCUUUCGCCUGUGAAGAUAAUGACGGUAGCAGGUAAAGAAACCCCGGCUAACUCCGUGCCAGCAGCCGCGGUAAUACGGAGGGGGUUAGCGUUGUUCGGAAUUACUGGGCGUAAAGCGCACGUAGGCGGACCAGAAAGUUGGGGGUGAAAUCCCGGGGCUCAACCCCGGAACUGCCUCCAAAACUAUUGGUCUAGAGUUCGAGAGAGGUGAGUGGAAUUCCAAGUGUAGAGGUGAAAUUCGUAGA
rnacentral:rRNA from 1 species